ACGAGGGUAAGCCCCCUCUGCAUGUGUGACCUGUGCCUCCUAGGAGAGCAGCUUUAAGCUGAUUUAAACUUGGCCAAGUUUAAAUUAAAUCUACCAUUUAUGUGGUAGAUUUAGACUUCUCUACACUGAUGAUGUUUAGACAUGGCCAUGUACUUUCUACAAUGAGAACAUUUAGACCUGACCCUGUUCUGUGCGCUUGUACUGGAGACCUGGGUAGGACCUGGACUGCCUCUGUCCUGGAAAACUCCAUGCCUGCGUCUGAAUGUCAGCCCUCAGAUGUCUGGGGUCUGGAGCUGAGGUGGCUGCUCUGGGCAACGUGCUGUUCUCUGAGGGGGUUCCGUGGCCCUCCCGGGGUUGGGACUGCAGUGGGCUCUGAGUCUCUCCCCCUGCCAGGUUCCCCCUCCCUGGGGCAUGGAGGCUCCUCAGGUGGGCUACCUGGUAAUUAUUCCAAUUUUCCAGCACAUUUGGGUUGAGUAGGGAGGCAGGUUCACCUGCUGAGCUGAUUCCAGGGAUCGGGCAAGAAGUCAAUGGGCAGCAGGUGAGGUUGCCGCUGUGAUCUCCUUCUGGUCGACUCUCCUCAGAAGAGAACAGGGCUGCUCCCUGUCCUUCAGCCCAGCUCUCCUGUUUUCUCAUCAUCUCAGCAGGACAGGAAAGACAGAACCUGCCAGAACCAAGAAUGAACAUGGUGAGAAGAGAGGCAGGCACAUGGUGGAUUGACUGCAGGGCAUGUGGAUCAGGCAAAAAGCCAGUGGGAUCAGGUGAGGUUGCUGCCGUGACCUCCUUCAGGUCGACCGUCCUACUCAGCAGAGACCAGACCUGCCCCUCGUCUUCCAGCCCUGCGUCUGGUGUGUUUUCUCAGCUCCUCAGCGGGACAAGAAAGGAUCGAGCCUGCCAGAACCAAGGACUGGAGACCUGGGUAGGACCUGGCCUGCCUCUGUCCUGGAAAACUGCGCCUUCGUCUGAAUGUCAGCGCUCAGAUGUCUGGGGUCUGGAGCUGAGGUGGCUGCUCUGGGCAGCGUGCUCUUCUCUGAGGGGGCUCCGUGGCCCUCCCGGGGUUGGGGCUGCGGUGGGCUCUGAGUCUCUCCCCCUGCCAGGUUCCCCCUCCCUGGGGCAUGGAGGCACCUCAGGUGGGCUACCUGGUAAUCAUUCCAAUUUUCCAGCACAUUCAGGUUGAGUAGGGAGGCAGGUUCACCUGCUGAGCUGAUUCCAGGGAUCGGGCAAGAAGUCAAUGGGCAGCAGGUGAGGUUGCCGCUGUGAUCUCCUUCCCGGUCGACUCUCCUCAGAAGAGAACAGGGCUGCUCCCCGUCCUUCAGCCCAGCUCUCCUGUUUCCUUUACACCUCAGUGGGACAGGAAAGACAGAGCCUGCCAGAACCAAGACUCAUCCCAGCCUGGGCCACAACCCCUGCUAAGGUGCCUAGGAGGCUGCACUCUCAGGAUGGAGACUUGAACUGGGGACCCCAUCACCAGGACCCCUGGCGACUAGAGGUGAUUGCAGAAGAUAGAGAAAAAUUCCCUGGGCUGAUCUUCAGAUCCUUGUGCAGUAUCUAUCAGAGAUACUGAUUUUAUGUGAAUGUCAAAGGAAGGAGGAAUGAAUUCUUGUGGAUUAUCUAUACAUAUACAGAUUUUGGUGUAUAUGUUGGAGUAAUGGAUUUCUUUAUGUAUGUUAAUCCCAAUCUCCUGCAUAUCAUACUGGCCUUUUUUUUUUUUUUAAAUAAUUCUUUGUGUUUGAUUUUUCAAAGGCUCCUUUUGUGUUGUAAAUUAGUUCCUUUUUUAUCUCGUUUUAAUUUUGCCUGGAAUGUUAUCUGCUAGUUUCUUUCUUUGUCUAGUGGAUUUCACUUAGCAUGUGAUCCUUCAAGGUCCAACCUUGUAGAGAAGAGUGGAAAAUACCAUAAUUUCAGUAAUGCUUUUUAUGACUGAGUAAUAGUCCACUGUAUAUAUGUACCACAUCUUGUUUAAGCUUUAGCUGUGGGUAGAAAUUUUGUGGUUACUGCCUUGCCUAUUGGAAGCUGUGCUACAGUGAACAGUGGGGUGCAUGUUUCUCUAUGAAUGGUGGUUUUCUUGGGAUUUAGAACUGCUCAUGUUGUACCUUGAAGCUUCCAGGCAUAUGCUCGCUUUGUGAACAAAUAUGAGGCCUCUGCUUAGAGGUUCAGCUCGUUUAUAACUAUGAGGUCUGUAGGUAGACUCUCAGCUCGUGGACAACAAUGAUGCUUUAUUCAGACUGUCAGCUCAUGUGUAAGUUUGAGGCCUCUAGGCACACCCUCAGAUCAUCUGUCCAAUGAGGCUUCUAGGCAGAAGUUCAGCUUGUGUAUUACGAUGAGGCCACUAGGCAUAUCCUCAGCUCGUGUAUAAAUACGAGGCCACAGAGAAGAUGCUAAGAUGGUGUAUAACUAUGAGGCCUCUCGGCAGAUGCUCAGCUUGUGUACAACUGUGAGGACUCAGGCUGGUGCUCAGCUCCUGUAUAACUAUGAGGCCUCUGGGCAGACGCUCAGCCGGUAUAUAACUCAGAGGCCUCAAACAGGUGCUCAGCUUGAGUAUAACUAUGAGUUCUCUAGGCAGAAGCUCAGCUCCUCUGAGGCCUCUAGGCAGACUCUCAGAUCCUGUGAGCCAAUGAGGCUUCUAGGCAGAUGUUCAGCAUUUGCAUAACUAUCAGGCCUCUAGUAGAUGCUCAGCUUAUGUUUAACUAUGAGGCCUCUAGACAGGUGCUCAGAUCCUGUGGGCCUAUGAGGCCUUUAGGCAGAUGCUCAGUUCGUGUGUGUCUGUCUGCUCAGCUCGUGUAUAUGAGGACUCAGGUGAGACGCUCAGCUCCUGUGUUUCUAUGAGGGCUCUAGGUAGAUGCUCAGCUCAUGUCUGUCUAGAGGCCUCAGACAGACUCUCACUUGUGAAUAAAAUGAGCUGUCUAGGCAGACGCUCAUCUCUUGUGGGCUUACGAGGCCUCCAGAAGCUCUCAUGUGCCUGUCUGGAGCUUCAAGGAAGAUGCUCAGCUCCUGUAUAACUAAGAGGCCUGAGGGCAGACUCUCAGCUGGUGUAUAACUCAGAGGCCUCUAGGGAGACACUCAUCUUCUGUGUUCCUAUGAGGCCUCUAGACAGGUGUGCACCUCAUGUCUGUCAGGAGGCCUCAAGGCAGAUCUCCACACAAUAGUGCUUAUGAGGACUCUAGGCAAACUCUCAACUUGCGUACAACUAUGAGGCCUCUAGGCAGACGCCCAACUCCUAUGGGCUUAUGAGGCCUCUAGGCAGAUCUCAGCUCCUAUGGGCCUAUAAGGUCUUUAGGCAGAUGCUCAGCCUGUGAGGCCUCUAGGCAGAAACUCAGCUCCUCUUUCCUGUGAGGCUUCUAGACAGACACUCAGCUCCUGUGUUCCCAUGAGGCCUCUAGCCAGAUGCUUAGCUCUUGUAGGCCAAGAGACCUCUAGGCAGAUGUUCAAUUCCUGUGGGGCUGUGAGUCCUCUAGGCAGACACUCAGCUUCUGUGGGCCUAGAGGCGUCUAUGCAGAUGCUCAACUCCUGUUUUCCUAUGAGGCCUCUAGACAGAGGCUCAGCUUGUGCCUGUCUAGAGACCUCAAGGCAGAUGCUCGGCUCCUGUUGUCCUGUAAGGCCUCUAGGCAGACACUCAACUCCUGUGGAACCGUGAGGGCUCUAGACAGAUGCUCAGCUCCUGUCUUACUAGGAGGCCUUUAGGCAGAAGCUGAGCUCGUUUAUAGCUAUACGGCUUCUAGUAAGACAUCUUUUGUGCGCCUGUGGGGCCUCUAGGCUUUCACUCGGCUGGUGUUCCAAGGAAGCCCCUAGGCAGACGCUCACCUUGUGUGUAGCUAUGAGGCCCUGUGCAGACACUCAGCUCCUGGGUCUGUGGGCCUCUUGGUGACUCUCCAGUUGCGUAUGUUAUGAAGCCUCUCUCAGCUCCUUUGCAUCCAGUGUCCUAUUAAAUUGAUUAUCAGUUAACACCUAGGUAUACUAUGUCUGAUCUAUCUAUAUUCUGUAGUAACAAAUUAUUCAAAAUACCUGAAUGUGAAUCUAUAUAUGUAUAUUUAAAGUUAAAUAAACACU
ensembl:lncRNA